rnacentral:rRNA from 1 species
GACGAACGCUGGCGGCGUGCCUAACACAUGCAAGUCGAGCGAUGAAGUUUUCUUCGGAAAACGGAUUAGCGGCGGACGGGUGAGUAACACGUGGGUAACCUGCCCUAUAGAGGGGGAUAGCCUUUCGAAAGGAAGAUUAAUACCCCAUAAAAUCUUAGUAUCGCAUGAUACAAAGAUCAAAGGAGUAAUCCGCUAUAGGAUGGACCCGCGGCGCAUUAGCUAGUUGGUGAGGUAACGGCUCACCAAGGCGACGAUGCGUAGCCGACCUGAGAGGGUGAUCGGCCACAUUGGGACUGAGACACGGCCCAGACUCCUACGGGAGGCAGCAGUGGGGAAUAUUGCACAAUGGGGGAAACCCUGGUGCAGCAACGCCGCGUGAGUGAUGACGGCCUUCGGGUUGUAAAGCUCUGUCUUCAGGGACGAUAAUGACGGUACCUGAGGAGGAAGCCACGGCUAACUACGUGCCAGCAGCCGCAGUAAAAC